GCCAGGCACGUUGGCGUGUGCCUGUAGUAGUCCCAGCUACUCAGGAGGCUGAGGUGGGAGGAUCGCUUGAGCCCAGGAGUUCUGGGCUAUAGUACACUAUGCCAAUCAGGUGUCUGCACUAAGUUCGGCAUCAAUAUGGUGACCUCCCGGGAGCGGGGGACCACCAGAUUGCCUAAGGAGGGGUGAACCGGCCCAGGUCAGAAACAGAGCAGGUCAAAACUCCUGUGCUGAUCAGUAGUGGGAUCAUGCCUGUGAACAGCCACUGCACUCCAGCCUGAGCAACAUAGUGAGACCUCAUCUCUU
ensembl:misc_RNA Metazoa_SRP Metazoan signal recognition particle RNA